rnacentral:rRNA from 1 species
UACGGAGGGUGCGAGCGUUGUCCGGAAUCACUGGGCGUAAAGGGCGCGUAGGCGGCUCCGGCAGUCUGUGGUGAAAGCCCAGGCUCAACUCUGGGUCGGCCACGGAUACUCCGGGGCUGGAGCACACUGGAGGCGGAUGGAAUUCCGGGUGUAGCGGUGGAAUGCGUAGAGAUCCGGAAGAACACCGGUGGCGAAGGCGGUCCGCUGGGG